UACGUAGGGUGCGAGCGUUGUUCGGAUUUACUGGGCGUAAAGGGCGCGUAGGCGGCGCAACAAGUCACUUGUGAAAUCUCCGGGCUUAACCCGGAGCGGUCAAGUGAUACUGUCGUGCUAGAGUGCGGAAGGGGCUACUGGAAUUCUCGGUGUAGCGGUGAAAUGCGUAGAUAUCGAGAGGAACACCUGCGGCGAAGGCGGGUAGCUGGGCCGACACUGACGUGAUGCGCGAAAGCCAGGGGAGCGAACGGG
rnacentral:rRNA from 1 species